UCGCGGGGAGGGGGCGGGGGGUUCCCCACCGGAUGGCCAUUGGAUAUCGAGGCGGGACUGGCACCGACGUCUGACGCGGCGCCCGGAGGGGAGCUUGAGGAAGCGCCAGCCGAGAGCGAUUGCCUACUUUGAGGGAGCUAGUUACCAUGUUGUGAGAACACUCAAGAAGCCUUGUGAAGAUUUACACAGGGGUUACCACAAUCCUUCAAUUUGCAAAAAGGCAGUUAUCUGUGAAGAUGAAUUAAUGAAGUACAGUAA